GCCUACGGGGCGCAGCAGUAGGGAAUUUUCGUCAAUGGGCGCAAGCCUGAACGAGCAAUGCCGCGUGUGGGAUGAAGGCCCUCGGGUUGUAAGCCACUUUUGUAGAGAACGAAAAGACACCUUCGAAUAAAGGGUGUUGCUGACGGUACUCUAAGAAUAAGCACCGGCUAACUACGUGCCAGCAGCCGCGGUAAUACGUAGGGUGCGAGCGUUAAUCGGAAUUACUGGGCGUAAAGGGUGCGCAGGCGGUUGAGUAAGACAGAUGUGAAAUCCCCGAGCUUAACUCGGGAAUGGCAUAUG
rnacentral:rRNA from 1 species